rnacentral:rRNA from 1 species
GAUGAACGCUGGCGGCGUGCUUAACACAUGCAAGUCGAACGGGGAUUAUUUUGACAGAGACUUCGGGUGAAGUCGUUGUAAUCCUAGUGGCGGACGGGAGAGUAACGCGUGGGUAACCUGCCUCACACUGGGAGAUAACAGUCAGAAGUGACUGCUAAUACCGCAUAAGCGCACGGGAUUGCAUGAUCCAGUGUGAAAAACUCCGGUGGUGUGAGAUGGACCCGCGUUGGAUUAGCCAGGUGGCGGGGUAACGGCCUACCAAAGCGACGAUCCAUAGCCGGCCCGAGAGGGUGGACGGCCACAUUGGGACUGAGACACGGCCCAGACUCCUACGGGAGGCAGCAGUGGGGAAUAUUGCACAAUGGGGGAAACCCUGAUGCAGCGACGCCGCGUGAAGGAAGAAGUAUCUUGGGUAUGUAAACUUCUAUCAGCAGGGAAGAAAAUGACGGUACCUGACUAAGAAGCCCCGGCUAACUACGUGCCAGCAGCCGCGGUAAUACGUAGGGGGCAAGCGUUAUCCGGAUUUACUGGGUGUAAAGGGAGCGUAGACGGAGCAGCAAGUCUGAUGUGAAAGGCGGGGGCUCAACCCCCGGACUGCAUUGGAAACUGUUGAUCUUGAGUACCGGAGAGGUAAGCGGAAUUCCUAGUGUAGCGGUGAAAUGCGUAGAUAUUAGGAGGAACACCAGUGGCGAAGGCGGCUUACUGGACGGUAACUGACGUUGAGGCUCGAAAGCGUGGGGAGCA